rnacentral:rRNA from 1 species
CAGUAGCCGCGGUAAAACGGAGGGUGCAAGCGUUAAUCGGAAUUACUGGGCGUAAAGCGCACGCAGGCGGUCUGACAAGUCAGAUGUGAAAUCCCCGGGCUUAACCUGGGAACUGCAUUUGAAACUGUCAGGCUGGAGUCUUGUAGAGGGGGGUAGAAUUCCAGGUGUAGCGGUGAAAUGCGUAGAGAUCUGGAGGAAUACCGGUGGCGAAGGCGGCCCCCUGGACAAAGACUGACGCUCAGGUGCGAAAGCGUGGGGAGCAAACAGGAUUAGAUACCCCAGUAGUCCCUGUCUCUUAUAA